rnacentral:tRNA from 1 species
GGAGCCAUAGCUCAAUGUUAGAGCAUCUGCUUUGCAUGCAAAAGGUACCAGGUUCAAUCCCCGGCAUCUCCA